rnacentral:rRNA from 1 species
AUUGAACGCUGGCGGCAUGCCUUACACAUGCAAGUCGAACGGUAACGCGGGGCAACCUGGCGACGAGUGGCGAACGGGUGAGUAAUGCAUCGGAACGUGCCCAGAAGUGGGGGAUAGCCCGGCGAAAGCCGGAUUAAUACCGCAUGAGACCUGAGGGUGAAAGCGGGGGAUCGCAAGACCUCGCGCUUUUGGAGCGGCCGAUGUCAGAUUAGCUAGUUGGUGGGGUAAAGGCCUACCAAGGCGACGAUCUGUAGCUGGUCUGAGAGGACGACCAGCCACACUGGGACUGAGACACGGCCCAGACUCCUACGGGAGGCAGCAGUGGGGAAUUUUGGACAAUGGGCGCAAGCCUGAUCCAGCCAUGCCGCGUGCGGGAAGAAGGCCUUCGGGUUGUAAAGCACUUUAGCCUGGAAAGAAAAAACUUUGGUUAACACCCAAAGUCUUGACGGUACCAGGAGAAUAAGCACCGGCUAACUCUGUGCCAGCCGCCGCAGUAA